rnacentral:rRNA from 1 species
UACGAAGGGGGCUAGCGUUGCUCGGAAUCACUGGGCGUAAAGGGUGCGUAGGCGGGUCUUUAAGUCAGGGGUGAAAUCCUGGAGCUCAACUCCAGAACUGCCUUUGAUACUGAGGAUCUUGAGUACGGGAGAGGUGAGUGGAACUGCGAGUGUAGAGGUGAAAUUCGUAGAUAUUCGCAAGAACACCAGUGGCGAAGGCGACUACCUGGCCUGUUCUUGACGCUGAGGCGCGAAAGCUAGGGGAGCAAACGGG